rnacentral:tRNA from 1 species
GCGCGCGACUGGAAAUCGCGUGGGUCCGUCCCUCGGGAGUUCAAAUCUCUCUCUCGGCGCCA